UACGGGGGGGGGCAAGCGUUGUUCGGAAUUACUGGGCGUAAAGGGCUCGUAGGUGGCCAACUAAGUCAGACGUGAAAUCCCCAGGCUCAACUUGGGAACUGCGUCUGAUACUGGAUGGCUUGAAUUCGGCAGAGGGAAGCGGAAUUUCGGGUGUAGCGGUGAAAUGCGUAGAUAUCCGAAGGAACAUCAGUGGCGAAAGCGGCUUCCUGGACCAGAACUGACGAUCAGGCACGAAAGCGUGGGGAGCAAACAGG
rnacentral:rRNA from 1 species